GAGCACCUCAUGCCGGGUGGUCAGACGUGCACCAAGGGCUGAUAGUGUGAAGUGGUGUGGGCAGGGGGAGACACAGACCCUGGGCAGGAAUCAAAGAUAAAGCUUCUAUCCACAUAACAGGCAGAUUGUCCAGAUGUCCCACGCAAGGGCCUGGAAGAGAUGAGGUUGCAGGCAGACCAAGGAGAAGGUGGAGGAAGGGAGGGGAGGAAGUACUGAAACAGAGCUCUUAGAAAGAUGUUCACUGCUGGGCAACACCAUCACCUCCUCUAGAAGGCAUGGAUAGCACCAAGCUGUUUUGCAGGGUGGUCUGGGAGAGAUGCCGCCUGAGCCGGCCUAUGGCUCCAAACUCAUCGCUGGAAGAUCACAGCUGCCCUCUCCCCGGCCACUCUCUUUUCAUGAGGAAAGGUGAGCCCGGCUGCCCUUGGUCUCCCCCAGGCCUGCUUAUCAUGGUGUAGAAAAUAAUUCUAGAUCAAGUUAGAAUAUGUUCCGACCUCAGCAAGCAACCACGUACUUUGAUUAUGUAGCACCCUUCAUUAUUCUAAGGAGUUCUCAUUAUACAGGUGGGUUGAAGACACACUGUGUGUCAAAAGAACCAAAACCAAAACAAAAUCCUAUAAAAUAGCAGGUCUUAUAGUUUCCUUCUUUUUCCCAUAGGAAGGAAGGGGAAAA
rnacentral:lncRNA from 10 species